GAAAUGUUUAACCUACCUCAAUACUAGAUGAAGUGUUUUAUAGCAUGCGGUCCACGGGAACACUUAAAAUGAAUUUCUGCAUGCUGGAAUGCUCUUUCAGUGCAUUGAAAGAGGUGAAGGCAGUGAUUAAAGCAAAUUGGAAAGCCUUGGGCACUCCUAUUGCUUCAGCCUCGGGGCUGUGCAGAAGAUGACUUCUCAGCUGCUCAGCAACCAGAAUCUCUCCCAAAUUCUUCUGGAAUUUCUGUGCUGUGAUUUAUCUCUGGUACGGGGUUUGGAUCUGCUGAUUCUCUUCUCCUUAGCUACUGCUGCCAGCAGCCCUUGCUCUUCGCUCUUCAGUGUGCCUCAUCUUGGAGUAGUCACAGAGGAAAUGUAAAAUUGAAUGUAUUCCCCAACUGCGCUGAUGCUAUGGAAGUUACAAUAGUUCCUGGGUUAAAAAGAGAGCUUUCUUUUAUCUCCAGAGGCUGAUCCCACUUAGACCCUUCCUAUGCCUGGUUUUGCCAUAAAUCCAGAACAAUAAUCCCCGCUAUGCUGAAAUAUUCACAAGGGGAAUAUCACCGCUGUUAUUUAAGGAAUGCCACAAAAAAAGAAGACAUGGAAAUGCAUGGAGCUCAAGUCUCGGGUACGGCUCGCUUGGGGAAGAAAUGCAUUUUCAGAAAACCACUUCCAGCUGAUGAAACAGGAGGUCAGAGUCCUGGCCAAAGUCAGAAGAUGCAGCUGUGUUUGGGAAGAGGCACCUGCAGAUCUGGGGACCUCACCCUGAGAAACCUGGGGGGCCAGGGAAGUGUAAGCCUGACUGACACAGUGAAAUACCCAAUGAAGGGAAACACAUCUUCCCUUACUUCAGUGUGGAGGAUUUUCAGUGCAAUGGUUAUUUAGAGCCAGGAGGUUGUGAACCGGAUGUCAGCUGUUGGAACUAAAGGGCAUUUGAGCUUUUGGACAGCUUAGCCCAGCAGAACUCAUUUCAUACCGUUGACGUUGAACAGAUUGACAGCCUGCAUGGAAUGGGGACUAAAAUAAAGCUCUCGCGCCUUUUCACUGGAAGAUCCAAAUCCAAAGUUUGCAUCUGGGUAUGGUCCUGAGCUGAGUGCUUGAAUGGGAGAUGGCAGGAGAAGCAUUCCUUGCCUUCCUGCUCAGUGACUCAUUUGCACCAAAAGGAAGAAUAAAGCCUGGUCUGUUGUUCCAAAAAAGCAUCUUCCACAAAGCCACAGCUUCCACCAGUUCCAGCCCUGCAGAAGUAAUCACUUUACAGAAGCUAAUAAAGAAUGGAUUAAGCUACAGCUUUGAAGAACUCAUCUCAAAAGGACCCUGAAACCACUGUCUAAAAGCAAUAUUAUCAGCAUUAGAAGCUGAAAAAUUACACCAACAGAUCUAGUUGUUUCUCAAACCCAUAUGAACUUGUGAGAACUGCAGCAUUGCACAACAAGUGCUUCUGCAACUUCUGCUUGCUUAAAGGGAAGAAGUCCAAGUGAUGCUGUAUGCUAGAACAGAUGUCAAGUGUAUGCAUCAGCAGAUUUAUCCAGACAUCCGUCAUCCCGAGCAGGAUGACUGGUGGUGACCUGAGGCCUGACAUCUGCCUGCUGCAGUGCAACUGAAAGACAUCAGCUUUCUUUGAGGAUGUGGAGACCACCUGAGCAGACCUGAAAUUACGAAGACAGGUGUCUGAGGCUUAACAGAUGAAAACCACUUGCUGAAAAUAAAGGUCAGACCAUGGUAGAAAAGAGGUGACCUCUUUCUCAGCUCAGUUCACCAACAAUAUCUAUGGGAAACAGCUGUGACAGUUCCCUUCAGCACAAUAUCCACAGGUCCAAGCUGUUAAAACUGUAGUUAGUCUGCCUGGGCUACUGCUAUCUGCAAUGCUCUUCACAGAAGUAAGCAUUCUGCCUGAGACUGAGCCAUGAGUGCAGUAAUUUUGGGCAAAUGUUGCAAAACUCAGAAGCAGGUAGGUAAGAAAUUUUCAUUUUUGUCUUCUUUUUCCUGUAAAGAUUAAUGGAUGUGUACAUUUUUAUUGUUUUAGGAAAGAGUCAUUAUAUAUAUAAUUGAAGUUUAAAUCUUCCUUAAAUUUAAUCUUAAUUGUAUUUGAGACUAUGGGCUUUAAGCAUUGCUCAACAAUCACCUCUCAUUUAAGUAAAUUGAAAAAGGUCAUGAUUCAUUCGUGUUGAAGAAUUAAGAGUGAUGUUAAUUAUUAAGUAAUUGUAGUUAUGGAAAUCAGGCUAUUCUCUAUAUCAACCUGAAACAAGAUUUUUUCAUUCUAGCCAAAGAGCAAGAUCUUUAAAUUGUCAAAUCAAAAAUCUCUUUCAGGAAUGGAGAUCUUAUCUGGACAGCGUCAGAUUAAAACAACAUAGCUGCUUUCUCCAGUUGACAAAUGCAAGAUUAUUCACAGCUGAUUCUUAGUCAGCUUCAUGAGUUGAAUAUCUGCCCUCUGUGCAUAAUAAGAUAUAUGGAUGAUCAAAGCAAUUAUAGUUUCUCUUUUAUCAUUUUAUUAAUUGAAUAUCAGUUAUUAUUUGAAUGUUGUUUUUAUUUCCUGUUAAUUAAUGAAGUUAGGUUUACUUGUAGUUAUAUGUUCAUUUAAACUUAAUCAGGUUAGUAAAUACGAUGGCAAAAUCUACUUCCCCUUUUCCCAGCUCAAAAUCAUGAGAUGUGAACAAUCGUUAUUACUUGAAAGGUGAUUCAGCCUCUGGGUAAGCAAAGCCGUUAUCGGGCCCUUCUGAUCUGCCUUACUUUUCUUGCUUUGCUACAGAAGCAGAAGUCAGAUGGGGAAAGCUGAAUGUGCAUGAGUCUCCCUUUUGCCAUUAAUUUUUGGGAAGACUUGCAUGUUUUAGCUGCUCUUUGUGCCUUUGAAAGCAUCAUUCAAACAGCUUCUUAAUUAAAAUGGAGAAUCAGGCAAUAAAACAUUGUAAUCAGUGCCUCCAUUCGUGAUGCGUCUGAGGUGAUACGUGCUUUGUGUUCAUAGACAAUAGAACUUUGAAAACCAACAAAACAGCAGAAAAUGUUAUUUAUUUUUCUGUCCUGCUCAGUGACCUUUGCUAUUGGUGGAGCCUCUGAAGUCUGGCAGAGAAAAUGAAAUCCAGGUCUAGUGUGGCUAAUAUUCAACUCAACAGCAAAAGAUAGAUUUUACAUUCUUCUUUUCUAUUUUACAUUCUUCUUUUCUUUAUGCAAAGGCUGUUUGUUGAGUUGACAUUGUGAAAUCAGUCUGGCUAGUUGUGAAUGAUGUAUGAAAGAGGAAAAAACCCUGCCCAGAGCCCAAAUAAACAGGUGCUGCAGUAAGACCAAGGUAGUUGUGCUAAGCUAUCCUAUUUGCAGUGUCUGAGGCUGGAGGCAUUUCUGGUGGUCACCUGGCCAACCCCUGUCCCAGCAGUCACAUAGUUAGCUCAUGUCUUUACGUGUCCAAGAAUCUAUUAGUUUAGAUUUUGCUCAGAGAACAAGUAGGUAACGUAGAUGUGACUAAAAUUCAAAAUUCCACCAGUUUAUUCCUUCUCCCUUAGUAUUUUUCUCUAAAGAUGGGAGUAUUUGAAUAAUUACAUUAAUUAUUUUAUUUUAGCUGUAAUUCUAAUUAUAGCCUUAAUCUUCUUGAGGAGAAAUAACUAGGAGGUAGAUCAAAUUAUUAUUUAAAAUUGAAUGUACAAAACUUUGUUGUCAAUGCGGAAUUUUUCUCAUUUCAGACAUGAAUUUGACUUAAAAUCACCUUAAAUAAACAUAAUCAAUAUUCACUCUUUAUAUCUUGUUAUAUACAUUACUAUUUUAAUGUUUUUCCAUCCCUGGAGGUUUUCAAGGCCAGUUGGAUGGGGCCCUGGGCAGCCUGGUGAAGUAUUAGAUAUGGAGAUUGGUGGCCCUGCCUGAGGCAGAGGGGUUGGAACUUCAUGAUCCUUGAGGUCCCAUUCAACCCAAGCCAUUCUGUGGUUCUAUAAUUCUAUGAUUUUUAGGAUUCAAAGCUUGCUUGGACUUCCACAUACCCUUUAUCCGUGAUGAAGGUCAAAUGACCCUCAGCAGGUCAUCAGAAAGGAAUCAUCAAGACAAGUGGAAGAUAUUUCACGCAGGAGUAACACUGCUUAAAAUGAUGCUCCGUUCUUUUUGCUGAAGUACAAUGAAGGUAAAACAGUGAAUCACUGAAGUCCAGGACAAGUGAAUUGCAACUUUGGAUUCUGAACAACCUAAUCUUAAUGUCAUUCAUCGAUCAUGAUAAGUAAUAUCUUGGUACUGUAUACAUCAGCAAAAUUUGUAGAUUACUACUUAUUACAGACAUUGAAAUGCCCAUUUUGAUACAUUUUUCAUAGGUAUAUACAUGCCUCUUGUGGAUUUUAUUUAUUCACACCUUCUGUCAGUGUAAUUGUGCCGUAGUUAAAGUACUUGUUUUUCCUUCAUUCUUAUCCAGCUCAAUAGAUCAUGAAGGUUAAAGUAACCUUAAGCUACAUUUUACAAUUCUUUCUAGUACAUAAUUAAACAUUAAAAAAAUCGACAUUUAAAAAGGUAGCAACAUUCAUUUUACUACUGGAACAGAUGCAACAUGAAUUUAUUUAGUUCUAAAGACUGCUCUUAUCGAUGCCUAAUUCAUUUCUUCACAAUGCAGAAAGAUAGAGAAGUACACUUUUCUCAAGGUUACAACCACCCUAAUUCGUUCCAGGUUUCUGACUUACAAGAAGUUACACUUGCACAUUCAGUGAUUGAUCACAAUUUGCCGGAACAAGAUAGAAUUCCCCAUCCAUUCCUCGAUUAUGAUUUUUAAAUGGAUUACAUAGUAUAAUCUGAUAUGUACAUACUGCUCUUACAUUUCAAGAGAAUCAAAUACAGGCACUUUAAAGACAUUAAAGUCUACAUCUUGGCUUAUACAAAUAACUUCUUCAAAUAUCAUGCUCCUCACACAUUAGAAGUGAAUUUUCUUCAAUUUAUUCCUUCAAUAAUUGUCUCUAGAAGUUAAGUGAAAUCCAAACUGAAAGCUCAUGAUUUAUAUGUUGUAUGUUGGCAUUGUUUGUCAGUAUCUGUUUCAGCGCCCUCACUGCCUCUGCUUUUAUGGUGCCAAACUUCAGCUUAACUUUUGUCCUGUGUAUUGGUGUUUCUGAAAAUAUUGCUAGAAUGAAAAACUGAGAUCAGUCACAAUGAGUCUACAUGCUAGAGGAUAGUCAGAGAUCUGUACUUAAGUUCCUUUUUUUACCAAUGCAUGUUUUAUGUUUGUAUGUAUUUCAUGGUGCAUUUCUCUGUUGUGCCUAUCAAUAGAGUACUUCAAACCGGGACUAUGUGUGCUGGUUGGGAUCACACCACUGAAUAACACUGGGUAAAGACUCCUCAAAGAAUACAAGAAUUGUCAGAAGAAGGAUGGUUUGAUGGAUGGAGUAUCAAAUCUAGAUGAGAGCAGAACUGGGAAGCAAGGGAAAAGAAAUCUUAUAGCAAGCGUUCAGGAAAGAACAUUAUUUAUCACAAUGAAAAGGAAAAUAGCUAUGAAAAAUGAGAUGAAAUUAGGAAAGAAAAAUGGUACUCUGCAACCAUUCUUGCUGUAGCUAAAGAUAUUUCAUUUUUUCCUAUUAUUAGUCAGGAACAGUCUAUGUUCAUUUUAAAUGUAUAAUUAUUUUUGUUAUAAUAGUUUUGUAUUUUAUUGCGUCAUCUCCUUUACAGAACACACAGAAUAUCAUAACAGGACUCUUCAAUGCCCUGGAUGAACAAUAUAUUUACAGGAUGGGAAAGUGUAGAUGUCUGCCUUUCCUCCUUUGAAUGGCACUACUGCCUGUGUACUGAAUAAGCAGGGCUGACGGGGUUCACAUUAAUAGACCUUCCUUUUAGAGAGAGUAGUUGUGUGUAUUUCUGAUAAACAAUUAAAGAAGCUGUUUGCCAAGUAUUUCACUGUGCAAUAAUAGAUAGUGAAGGUGGAAGGACUGGAAAAUGACAAAGCGUUUAUCAUGUAGUGAGAAAGCCUAUGUGGUUCAAGAGGAGGAAAUAAUUGCUCCUUUUCUUUCAGCAUUUAUUCAAGUCAAAUGCAUCAAUGGAUGUUGCUGUAAAAGAGAGGUGCCUGCUUUGUUUAGGUAGGACAGAGGAACCCAACAAUACUAUGGAGCAAAAUGAGAAAUAUUAAAUAUGAAAACACUAAUGAGCUCUGGGUUAGUGAAUUGUGUGCAGAACUGUAUUUACUGUCCAACAGUUUUUUUUUGCAUUGAAUAUAUUGACUGCUUGUCUGUAUCUGGAACUUAACGUUUUCCAGAUGGUACUUAAUAUAUCCUUAUUUAUUCCUCCUCAUCCAACAUUUUGACUUGAAAUGGAAAAACAAGCCUGAUGAUCUCCAAGCUGAAGGUGUGGUGGGCCACUAUACUGCCUUGGCUGAUGUUCCUGUUAUUCUGAGUCCUUUUGUGGCUUUUGAAAAUCCAGAAUAAAGUUAAGUAAGCAAGAGACUUGACAGCCCACAUCAGAGCUGCCAACUCCAGCAAUGAACCAGAUUUAGAAGCUGUUAUAUGAAGAAUCUACAGGACAUGAGAUUUAAAUGGUUUCUCUGAAUAAGUACCUUCUAAACUAGGGUCCUUGAGGGCAUGGAGAGACCCUCGAUGACAGGGUGGGAUUGUUUUUUCUUCACUUCACCGUUGCAGGCAGACAGCUGGGAGGACCAAGGAAGAGCUCUUGUUCUUUUGCCUGCUUGGAGGAGAAAGUCAUUAAGUGGAUUAUCUCACUGGAUAAAGGUAUGAAGGUAAGAGGAAGAAUGGUCAGAAGCCCUCCCACUGCUGUGGUCCUUCUGGUGAUGCCCUCAGCCAUCGCAUGCAGGAUCCAUACAAAAGGUGAUUCCACGGUAAUAUAUUCUGUGCUAGUUUCUGGCAGGAAACAAUAGAUGCAAUGUGGGAGCUUAAAGAAGAGAGAUGCUGGGAAGACAUCAUACCUUUUCUGACUGUUCCAUAUCACAUCACUCUGUUUGGAGAUACUGUGUUUCAUCUCCUACAAAGUAAAUUGCUGGCUGACAGCUGGAACCACCUCUACUAUAAAUUAUUGCACUCACAAGCAAGUUGGAUAUCUACCAUAGGAUCAUCAAACACAGAGGAGUUUGUGUUUACACUGCUGUAACCAAGCUGGGGGCUGGUUUCCAGAAUUACAGAGUCUUACAUAAAACAAAAUUUUCUCUUCAUUAAGUUCCAUGUUGACUGUCACAAAUCCUCCCUAUGAAUCCUUUCUAAUUCGUAUUUUGUGAGGGCGGGCUAGGACCCACAAAAAACAUUUACCCUAAUUCAUCUGCUGCGUUGUAAGGCUUUUAUUAGGCUUCACAAAUUUGAAUACUUUCAUCUGCGUUGUCAAGCUUCAUUCCCCACUGGUAUUUUUCCCUACAAAAUGUUGGUGAUGAAUAUUCACAAACCCCGGUGAGAGCUGUGCCAAAGACAUAGCUCAAAACAAUACAGCUGUAGCCAGAAAGCUGUACAGUGGGUGAACUGUUCUCAAUUCCUAUGCAUGUCUUCCAUCUCAAACCUUCAUCCUAUUUAAGUGCCUCAGGAAGAGAUAGCAAAGAAUCUCUUUCUCUUUUUUUUUUCUGGAAAUCAAAUACAGAGGACUUGAAAGAGAAAAAGUUAAGUAUUGUAAGCAAUCCAGAAGGAGCAAACCAGGACCCACUUAUGAAUCUCCUCCCGUAAGGAUGGCUGAAAACCUCUAACUUGUAAGAAAACUGUGAAUGUCUGAAAAGUCUUCUGAUGUGAUACAUGUUGUGUCUAAUUUAGGUGCCUUCUGAUAGGGCUGACUGCAUGUGGAAAUAGGAGAAAGAGUAACUGGAUAAUAUUCUACUGCUAGAAGAGGCUGAGGCUGAUCUUCUUCUGCUUGAAGAUUGAUAUGUGUAGGACCUGUGUGGUCAAAACACCAUUAAAAUCAUAGUAAACAAAUAAUAAAUACAUGUUUGGGUCCCUUACCUGCAACAAGGUGGCAGUUUCUCUUUGCAGUCGAGGCGCCAGAUCCCAACAUGCCAGAGGUUGUGCUGAAAAUCAGGACUUGGGGCUCUUCCUUUGCUGAGAAGAUAAAGUGGCAACUCUUGUGAAAUCCCACCCCUGCUUCACCAGCUGAAUGAAGUCCAAAAACUUGAUGCUUCAAACAUUUCACAGAGAUGGAAAAAAUACGAGAGCCAAAAAGAUUGUUAAAAAGAAUCCACAGUGAGGAAGACGGGAAUGCUAUCUGUGGUUCUCAUAUGAGGAAGAGCAAGAACAGAUGCAUUUUUUCCGCAAACUCGGAACCUCAGCUUGCAAGAAGUAGUGAAGCUUUGUGUAGAACUGGGGAUGACAACUGAACGCAAGUAGUCACCAGCAAAACACAGAAAACAUGACUGUUGGUGCCACAGCUUUGCCAGCUGGUAAGGGACUUUUCCAUGUCUCCACCUUGGAGAGAAGAGUGUGGUGUGCUCUGAUUUGAAUGAAGAAACAGGAUCAUUGUGGUCUGUUUUCCCCAUCCUUUGAGCCAUCCCAGUGCAGGAACCAAGAGAAGAAAUCUCAUUCUUUCUCUUCUGCCCUUGAAAAAGGAAUAGGUAAAAUUGGACUGUAGUCUUAGAAAAUCAAACCUCGCCUUGUGGAUGAAUCACUGCCAUUGAUGCUGGGAGAAGGGAAUGAAUAUCCCUCAAACAAAGGAUUUUAUAGGAUGCUAAUAUACAGGAUAGAGGAUAUGCCAAAAAUCUGUGUGGGUUCAAAAAGUGACUGGAAGGAAGAAAAGAAUCCACCAAAGAAAAUCCUUAGAGGAAAAUUCUGUCACAUAGAAAGAUUUCACCUCAGCUUCAGCGGAUCCUUGAACCACAAAUAGCUGCAGGCUGGGAAAGUAUUCUGGGGAAUAUGGUUGUGUUCUGUAAAUAUUGGCUGUGGGCAAUGUUGAAGGACGUGAGACUACGUGCAUGUUCAUUUUGAGCUGGACCAGCCAUUCUUGUGUAUCUGUUAUUUGUGUGUUUUCAAAAAGAAAAAAAAAAAAAAGAAAAAAAAAGAAAAGCUCUCUGAGAGACACUUCUCUCUUUCUAUUUUUUGUUAUUCCAAUCCAGUCUGUUUUCGGGGCCAGGGAGGGAGACACUGGAGGAUCUCAGUGCCCCUAGGCAGAUGGCGAAUGAGGGAGAAGUGCCUGCGGGGCUGAGGCUGGCGGCGUCUCUUCCAGACCAACGUGCCUUGGUCCCCCUGCAGCUGGGAAGAGCACAGAGCUUGUUAGUGAGCUAGGUCCAGCAUGAAGCUCCAAAACUUCUAAACCCUGCAGAUAGAUGGUCUUCAGAAUAUGCAGUGGAGUUUAUCCAGUUUAACUCAGCCCAGCUGAUGCCAGCAGGUGGAGUUUCGCUGUGAGGUUUGUAAAGCUGCACCAUUCCCACUAGUCACUGAGGUCCUAACCAGUGCACUGCUGUGUGCAUGAAGUCCUGCUCUUAUCUGCUCAGUCUGGUAACUGAAAGUGCAAAGUGGCAAUUAGGUUCACCAUUAGCCCAUCAGCAAGUGCACAUUCAGGAUCAGAUCUACGUUUUGCAUGCCCAAGGCUGAGAGGUGCCAAUGGCUCUCCGUUACUGCUGGACAAGCAGAUAUGAAAAGUUGGCAUCCACAUAGAUCCGUGGCCGUGACAUGAGGAAACCUCCGCCACUUUGGCAAACAGCAUGCAAGUCCAGCAUAGGCCAUGGACCUUGUACAAUUGGGCUUUUAUCCCUGCUAAACUCUUAUUCUUCAGGUGGAUAAUUGUAUUGUCCUCAUCGGGAUUGUAACGGGGCUACCAGAUGAAUAUCCAGCUGCUUCCAUCCCUUUGAAGGAACAGUACACAAACCUGCAGCCUUAGCUCCCACCCUUACUACGGAAGGGGCUCAGCAUUCAGUCUGUAGGCAUAGCAGCAGAUUGGCAAGGUGACAUAACAACUAUUUGCAAGUCUACGUGCUGUCUGAAGUUACCAAAGUAAAUUGCACAGCAGUCUGCUUGGUAGUCCCUAAGAAGAUAAAGUGGUCAGUGCUGCUCUGCUUUGAAAAUAUCAGCCCUGCUUUGUGCAGAAUAUUGCAGACUGGCUGAAAUGUUGCCCAAGCAACAUCCACUCUUCAGCUGUACUUCUCACAGUGGCUUCAGCUGAAGAAGGGACAAGACCCAAGGAAGUGUUUGGAAAUCUCUCUUGCAUCCUCCCAGUCUGAGACCAACCAGAGCAGCUCCUGUUUGCAUUGGAUUUGUACAUCGUUGGCAUUGGAAGAAGAAACAUUCCAGUGUGAGAGGGAUCCUCAGCUGGCAAAGCUGUAUCUAGCAGAGGGCUUUGAACAAGCCCCGUGCAACUGAGAAAGAUGUUGGCUGAAAUGAACUGGAGGUCUUCCUCUUUAAUAUGGAUUUUAUGCUUGGUGCCAUGCAGACAGCGCUGGCAGGAGGACGAUUUCAGUCUCUGCUACAUCAAUGAAAACAAGGGGUUGUUUAAACUUGGCGUUGACACAAAUAAAAUAAAAACUGAGCUGUU
ensembl:lncRNA